GACGAACCGAGCGAACGUUAUUCGGAAUCACUGGGUUUAAAGGGUGCGUAGGUGGGUUGGUAAGUCAGUGGUGAAAUCCCCGAGCUUAACUUGGGAACUGCCAUUGAUACUGCCAGGCUUGAGUAUAGUUGAGGUAGGCGGAAUUGACAGUGUAGCGGUGAAAUGCAUAGAUAUUGUCAAGAACACCAAUUGCGAAGGCAGCUUACUAAAGUAUAACUGACGCUGAGGCACGAAAGUGCGGGGAUCAAACAGG
rnacentral:rRNA from 1 species